GACGAACGCUGGCGGCGUGCUUAACACAUGCAAGUCGAACGGAAAGGCCCCUUUGGGGGUACUCGAGUGGCGAACGGGUGAGUAACACGUGAGUAACCUGCCCUUGACUUCGGGAUAACUUCAGGAAACUGGGGCUAUUACCGGAUAGGAAUCCUUGCUGCAUGGUGGGGGUUGGAAAGCUUCGGCGGUUUUGGAUGGACUCGCGGCUUAUCAGCUUGUUGGUGGGGUAGUGGCUUACCAAGGCUUUGACGGGUAGCCGGCCUGAGAGGGCGACCGGCCACAUUGGGACUGAGAUACGGCCCAGACUCCUACGGGAGGCAGCAGUGGGGAAUAUUGCACAAUGGGCGGAAGCCUGAUGCAGCAACGCCGCGUGCGGGAUGACGGCCUUCGGGUUGUAAACCGCUUUCAGCAGGGGCGAAGCUUGUGGUGACGGUACCUGCAGAAGAAGCACCGGCUAACUACGUG
rnacentral:rRNA from 1 species